rnacentral:rRNA from 1 species
ACACGACUACGAAGUUUGAUCCUGGCUCAGAAUCAACGCUGGCGGCGUGCCUCAGACAUGCAAGUCGAACGAUUAAAGCUCUCUUCGGAGAGUGUAUAGAGUGGCGCACGGGUGAGUAACACGUAAGUAAUCUACCCUCGAGUGGGGAAUAACAACCGGAAACGGUUGCUAAUACCGCAUAAUGCAGCGGCACCGCAAGGUGACAGUUGUUAAAGAUUUAUCGCUUGAGGAGGAGCUUGCGGCAGAUUAGCUAGUUGGUAGGGUAACGGCUUACCAAGGCUACGAUCUGUAACCGGUCUAAGAGGACGGUCGGUCACACUGACACUGAAUAACGGGUCAGACUCCUACGGGAGGCAGCAGUCGGGAAUUUUGGGCAAUGGGCGAAAGCCUGACCCAGCAACGCCGCGUGAAGGAUGAAGUAUUUCGGUAUGUAAGCUUCGAAAGAAUAGGAAGAAUUAAUGACGGUACUAUUUAUAAGGUCCGGCUAACUACGUG